rnacentral:lncRNA from 1 species
ACUUCACUCAAAAAAAAAAAAAAAAAAAAACUUCAAAUACCACCCCUGUGGUUUCAUACUUUCUCACUUUAGUACCCUAUAGUUUAAAGAGUAUUAUUUUCGAGCCUUAUGAUUUUAUUUUUUUCUUUUUGUUAUUUACUCCACUAAUUUUUUUCGUUAAAUCAGUGACAAAGUUAAAACUAAAGAGUACUAGAGUAAAUAUUCGAUAAAUUAUAAAUGGAGUAUUUGAAGUUCUUUAUAUAUGAUUUAACGAAAAGUUAACAGAGGGUUUAACGAAAAAAAAAAUAAAAAUAUGAUACUAAAUUGAUAUACUUUAAACUUCAGGGUAUUAAAAUGAAAAAAUACGAGAGAUGUGAUAUUUAAAAUUUACCCUAAAAAAAUAUUUAGAGGAAUAUUUCAAC